rnacentral:rRNA from 1 species
GAUGAACGCUGGCGGCGUGCCUAAUACAUGCAAGUCGAGCGAAUGGAUUAAGAGCUUGCUCUUAUGAAGUUAGCGGCGGACGGGUGAGUAACACGUGGGUAACCUGCCCAUAAGACUAGGAUAACUCCGGGAAACCGGGGCUAAUACCGGAUAACAUUUUGAACCGCAUGGUUCGAAAUUGAAAGGCGGCUUCGGCUGUCACUUAUGGAUGGACCCGCGUCGCAUUAGCUAGUUGGUGAGGUAACGGCUCACCAAGGCAACGAUGCGUAGCCGACCGGAGAGGGUGGUCGGCCACACUGGGACUGAGACACGGCCCAGACUCCUACGGGAGGCAGCAGUAGGGAAUCUUCCGCAAUGGACGAAAGUCUGACGGAGCAACGCCGCGUGAGUGAUGAAGGCUUUCGGCUCGUAAAACUCUGUUGUUAGGGAAGAACAAGUGCUAGUUGAAUAAGCUGGCACCUUGACGGUACCUAACCAGAAAGCCACGGCUAACUACGUGCCAGCCGCCGCCGUAA